CUCCUCUCCCUCCCCACCCCCACACCGUACUUCCUUCCCUCUCCCCUCCACCCGCGGCGGCCGGAGCCGCCGAGCCCGGUGUACAAUUCGAGUAAGAUAAGCAGGACAAUUCCGCAGACCUAGAAGGAAAGUUCCUUACGCUAUGAUUGAUCGCAUGAUGUAAUUGUUACACUUCAUGCAGAGUAGUAGAAGAAAAGAGGACAAUGCCUAUUCGCUAAAAGCAUCCCGCGCUGUUCUAAAUACUUUAUGGUGGCUUUUGUCAUCGUCUCAACUUCUUGUACAGAUGAGGAAACUGAAACACACAGAGAAGAGUAAUCUGCCCAAGUUAGAGCUGCGACUCCACACAGGCAUCCCACUGCAGAGUCCUUUUAAUUUUUAAAUUUUUUGACUAGGUAAGACAUUCACAUAACUUAA